rnacentral:rRNA from 1 species
ACAACUUUCAGCAAUGGAUCUCUUGGUUCUCGCAUCGAUGAAGAACGCAGUGAAAUGCGAUAACUGGUGUGAAUUGCAUCCAUGUAACUCUAAUUUACGAAUAACACCAAGUGAAUCAUCGAGUCUUUGAACGCAAUUGCGCCCUCUCGGUCGCUUCCAAUUGGGGGUUGACUCAUAGGGGGUACAUCUGUUUGAGGGUCAUU